GACGAACGCUGGCGGCGUGCUUAACACAUGCAAGUCGAGCGGUAAGGCCCUUUCGGGGGUACACGAGCGGCGAACGGGUGAGUAACACGUGGGUGACCUGCCCUUAGCUCUGGGAUAAGCCCGGGAAACUGGGUCUAAUACCGGAUAUGACUCCAUGACGCAUGUUGUGGGGUGGAAAGCCUUGUGCGGCUAGGGAUGGGCCCGCGGCCUAUCAGCUUGUUGGUGGGGUGAUGGCCUACCAAGGCGACGACGGGUAGCCGGCCUGAGAGGGCGACCGGCCACACUGGGACUGAGACACGGCCCAGACUCCUACGGGAGGCAGCAGUGGGGAAUCUUGCGCAAUGGGCGAAAGCCUGACGCAGCGACGCCGCGUGAGGGAUGACGGCCUUC
rnacentral:rRNA from 1 species